GAAAUGCGAUAAGUAAUGUGAAUUGCAGAAUUCCGUGAAUCAUCGAAUCUUUGAACGCACAUUGCGCCCCCUGGCAUUCCGGGGGGCAUGCCUGUCCGAGCGUCAUUUCUGCCCUCCAGCACGGCUGGGUGAUGGGUGCUGUCCCCCCGGGGACACGCCCCAAAAGCAGUGGCGGCGCCGCGUCGGGUCCUCGAGCGUAUGGGGCUCUGUCACCCGCUCGGGAGGGACUCGGUCGGUGCUGGUCUUCCCCCAGGCGGCCCUUUGGGGCUCGUCUCUUCCGGUUGACCUCGGAUCAGGUAGGGCUACCCGCUGAACUUAA
rnacentral:misc_RNA from 1 species